rnacentral:rRNA from 1 species
UACGGAGGGGGCGAGCGUUAUUCGGAAUUAUUGGGCGUAAAGGGCGCGUAGGCGGCUGGGCAAGUCAAAGGUGAAAUCCCUCGGCUCAACUGAGGAACUGCCUUUGAAACUGCCUGGCUUGAGGCCGGGAGGGGGUAGCGGAAUUCCCAGUGUAGCGGUGAAAUGCGUAGAUAUCGGGAGGAACACCAGUGGCGAAGGCGACUUCCUGGCCUGUUCUUGACGCUGAGGCGCGAAAGCUGGGGGAGCAAACGGG